GACGAACGCUGGCGGCGUGCCUAACACAUGCAAGUCGAGCGAUGAAACCCUUCGGGGUGGAUUAGCGGCGGACGGGUGAGUAGCACGUGGGUAACCUGCCUCAAAGAGGGGGAUAGCCUCCCGAAAGGGAGAUUAAUACCGCAUAACAUUAGUUUUUCGCAUGAAGAACUAAUUAAAGGAGUAAUCCGCUUUGAGAUGGACCCGCGGCGCAUUAGCUAGUUGGUGAGGUAAAGGCUCACCAAGGCGACGAUGCGUAGCCGACCUGAGAGGGUGAUCGGCCACAUUGGAACUGAGACACGGUCCAGACUCCUACGGGAGGCAGCAGUGGGGAAUAUUGCACAAUGGGCGAAAGCCUGAUGCAGCAACGCCGCGUGAGUGAUGAAGGCCUUCGAGUUGUAAAGCUCUGUCUUUUGGGACGAUAAUGACGGUACCAAAGGAGGAAGCCACGGCUAACUACGUGCCAGCCGCCGCAGUAAAAC
rnacentral:rRNA from 1 species